rnacentral:lncRNA from 1 species
UCCAAAACUAUAAAAUAAAAUAUGAAACAAAUCUCUCUCGGUGUAUAGUUUUACUGUACAGUUUCAUAGAUUAUUUUAGCUUUUUUUUAGGUCCCACCAGUCUAUCUCUCUUUCUUCCCCAUCCUACCACAUGGCCUCUGCAAGCUCUGGAAGAACGCAGAGCACCACCGUGCCACAUGCUCCACCAACGCGAGAAACAGUAAGGCCUUGUUUAGUUCCCGAAAAAUUUUGCAAAAUUUUUCAGAUUCUUCGUCACAUCGAAUUUUUAGACGCAUGCAUGAAGUAUUAAAUAUAGAUGAAAAUAAAAACUAGUUACACAGUUUGGUCGAAAUUGACGAGACGAAUCUUUUAAGCCUAGUUAGUCCAUGAUCGUACAAUAUUUAUCAAAUAUAAACGAAAAUGCUAUAGUGUCCAUUUCCCAAAAAUUUUUGGAACUAAACAAGGCCUAAGGAAAUUUCCCUUCCAUUCAUCGUGGCAGCCACCGGCGAGGUGCUCACGGCAGCAGAGCUCGCGCACGUGGCCAACACUCAUGCUCGCAGCCAGUGGAGCUGCGAUCGGCGGCGCUUGCACCCGUGGAUGGCGGAGCUCGCACAACUGGUGCUGGCGGUGCUCGUGCUCGUGGAUGGCGGCACUCGCGCCUGCGGCGGAGACGCGAUCGGUGCUCACGGUCGUGGACGGCGGAGCUUACGUGGCCGACUCUCGCGCUCGCGGCCGACGGACUCGUGGCCCGUAGAGCUCCUGGACACGGCAAGGGGCUGCCGUGACCAGCGGCGCUCAUGCUCGUGAAUGGCGGAGCCCGUGCGGUCGGCGCUAGCGCACGAGCUUGGGCCUCUUGCUGCUUGCUGCUGUGUGUGUUGGGGUGUGCGCCUGGUGUGCAUAUGUGAGUGUGUGUUGGUGUAUAAGUGGU